rnacentral:rRNA from 1 species
CGUUAAUCGGAAUUACUGGGCGUAAAGCGCGCGUAGGCGGCUUAUUAAGCCAGAUGUGAAAGCCCCGGGCUCAACCUGGGAACUGCAUUUGGAACUGAUUCGCUAGAGUACGGUAGAGGGUGGUGGAAUUUCCAGUGUAGCGGUGAAAUGCGUAGAGAUUGGAAGGAACAUCAGUGGCGAAGGCGGCCACCUGGACUGAUACUGACGCUGAGGUGCGAAAGCGUGGGGAGCAAAC